ACUGAGGCGCUGACAGGUUGUGCGAACAUCAGUGCUUUAUGAUGAAGCUCUUUGAUUAAUCAGCAGAGACCACAGGAAAUGUCUUGACAGUAGAAAAUGUGGCUUCCGCUUGCAAAGGAGAAAAGCAGGUGCCAGGUGUUCAAAAAGGGAGCUGACCUGGCUGAACUCUUCCUUUAUGAUGAGCUUUGAAAAAUCUGCUUUAAGAUCACAGCACCCACAGAGGCAAUGACGUGUGGUGUUGUACGAUUGCCGUUUCUGCUCUACACGCCCCUCUUGGACCUGGCCAGAAUGCGGAAAAAGCGGCA